CAGAGCUAAAUUGGUAUUUUCCCGUUUGCUGCGGCAAAUUUUUAUUAAAGUGUACCCUAUAUUUAUGAUUAUUAAACUUUAGUGUUCGCCAGAAUCGCCUGCAGGCCUCCUUAAAACAAGAUGUCUAAGUCCCCACCCCCACCUCCCCCCCCCCCCCGGAUUUCUGAUUCACUAGGUCUGGAGUGGAGCACAAUACAUUUGCAUUUCUAGCAAGUUCCCAGGUGAUGCUGGUAGAGCACACGCCCAGAACCACCGCCAGGUACACAAGUCACUGGACAAGGUGGGAAGGCAUCUUACUCAAUCAAUGGACCUUAUUCUAAAGCGGGAAGGGCACUGAGAGUAUAGGGAGGGUAUCUCUCAAAUGAGGAGUCUACGACCUGCUUCAGGGGAAGGCCAACAACUUCUUGGAUUUUAUGACCUGCUUCAGGGGAGAAGGACAAGGGAAGUACAGCGCCUACAACAAUGCAAAGGCUAGAAGGAAUGAAGGCAGGGACAUGGAAUGGAGAAUUUCCAUUUCACGGAUCCACAUAAACUGAAAAGGAACAAGAGUCGGUGAGACCAAAGAGCACUGAAGGCCAUGAACCACCACCAUUCUCAACCCCUGGGCCAGGCAAGAAAAGCCACGGUUCCUGGAAGGGAUGACGACAGACACAGUGACCAAAGCUACAGGGGCCUCCAGAGGAAACGGUGAGAACCACAGGAGAAAGGGGGUCUUUGCUGCUGACGGCGAGCACCCAAGCCCAAGCUCCCAGUGGUGAUCUCUCACAAGACCACACAGCCGAUUUCCCUGGAGACAGCACAACCUGUUAAGGGCAUCUUCCAUGCCAUUAAGG
rnacentral:lncRNA from 1 species